CCUGGUUUUUUAAAUAUUAGGAAAAUCCAAUUUUGCUUUCAGUUGAGAUGACCUUUGGAGCACAUUUCUGGUAGAAAAGUUGUUUACUAACAAAACAAUUUAAAAAUUAAAAACACAUGAUAGUUAAACCGAAAUAGAUACAUUUCUAGCUAUGUCACUGAAUCUAAAACUUAAACGAAUUUCAGAAAAUUAUCAAAACCGAUACACUUCCAACAUACAUCAUUCACGAAAUUAUUGCACAUCACGUAAAUCGUUAUCGAUGACUAGUGAUAUUGAAAAUACUUAUUAUAAUAAUAUUACAGACUGUCAACGACCUUUCGACCAUCAG